CCCGCGCGCGCGUGGGGCCGGUCCCGGCACGUCCCGCGGCCCCGGGCGCACCGCACCGCACCGCACCGCCCUGCCCUGCCCUGCCCUGCCCUGCCCGGCUCCUGCCUGCACAGCCUCCCCGCUUCAGUCCCCUGCCCACGGCUCUGAAACCGGGGCAGGCAGAACAAAAUGAACCAGGCUUUACCCCUCCCCGAAAGCAAACUCCUUCCCCUCCAAAAAGCAAGGAGCUGGAGUGCUGUCAGUGAGGGCAGGGGACGCGACAAGGGGCACCGCCGGCUCCGGUUGCAGCAGGGGACAAACUCCCCGGUGAGGAGGGUAGAAAAGCCCUGGAAGAGGCUCCCCAGUGGGAGCAGGCGGGCUCUCCAACCUCGCAGGGGUUUAAGCCCCCCGGGGGAGAUAAAGUCCUGGCUGAGGUGCUGUUUUCCCCCGGUGUUUAUGUAUGGCUCCACCAUCCUGCCGAUCACACAUCUGUCAACCACCUUGUUAAAGACUCUACCCAGGAAAAUAAAAAAAAGGAAGAAAAAAGA